rnacentral:lncRNA from 1 species
CUGGAAUGCAUUUAAAUUAACAGGUGUUCCUUGCUAAAAGUUCAUUUGUGGAAUUUCUUUCCUUCUUAAUGCAUUUGAGCCAAUCAUUUGUGCUGUGACAAGGUAGGGGUGGUAUACAGAAGAUAGCCCUAUUUGGUAAAAGACCAAGUCCAUAUUAUGGCAGGAGCAGCUCAAAUAAGCAAAGUGAAAUGACAGUCCAUCAUUAUUUUAAAACAUGAAGGUCAGUCAACAUGGAACAUUUCAAGAACUUUUAACGUUUCUUCAAGCGCAGUUGCAAAAACCAUCAAGCGCUAUGAUGAAACUGUUUCUCAUGAGGACCGCCACAGGAAAGAAGACUCAGAGUUACUUCUGCUGCAAAGGACAAGUUCAUUAGACAAUCUCAGAAAUUGCAGCCCAAACAAAUGUUUCACAGAAUUCAUGUAACAGAUACAUGUGAACAUCAACUGUUCAGAGGAGACUGCGUGAAUCAGGCCUUCAUGGUCAAAUUACUGCAAAGAAACCACUACUAAAGGACACCAAUAAGACAAAGAGACUUGCUUGGGACAAGAAACAUGAGCAAUGGACAUUAGGCUGGUGGAAAUCUGUCCUUUGGUCUGAUGAGUCCAAAUUUGAGAUUUUUGGUUCUAACAGCCGUGUCUUUGUGAGACGCAGAGUAGGUGAACGGAUUAUCUCCGCCUGUGUGGUUCCCACCGUGAAGCAUGGAGGAGGAGGUGUGAUGGUGUGAGGGGGCUUUGCUGGUGACACUGUCAGAUUUAUUUAGAAUUCAAGGCACACUUAACCAGCAUGGCUACCACAGCAAUCUGCAGCAAUAUGCCAUCCCAUCUGGUUUGCUCUUAGUGGGACUGCCAUUUGUUUUCAACAGGACAAUGACCCAACACACCUCCAGGCGGUGUUAGGGCUAUUUGACCAAGAAGGAGAGUGAUGGAGUGCUGCAUCACCCGACCUCAACCCAAUUGAGAUGGUUUGGGAUGAGUUGGACCUCAGAGUGAAGGAAAAUCUGCCAACAAGUGCUCAGCAUGUGUACGAACUCUUUCAAGACUGUUGGAAAAGCAUUCCAGGCGAAGCUGGUUGAGAGAAUGCUAAGAGUGUGCAAAGCUGUCAUCAAGGCAAAGGGUGGCUACUUUGAAGAAUCUCAAACACUUUUUUGGAUACUACCGUAAUUUCCGGACUAUUGAGCGCACCUGAAUAUAAGCCGCACCCACUGAAUUAAAAAAUGUUUUUAUUUUGAACAUAAAUAAGCCGCACAUGUCCAUAAGCCGCAACACCUCGGCCGUCUGCUCUCUGUGUGUUGACCCAGUCUUCGAGCUCAUUUUCUAGUUCGGGCCAUCUGCUUUUCUUCCCUCUGAAAGCUUUAGUUGUCUUUUUGCACUGAGUCAAUUCCUCACGCUGCUGUUUCUAACGUCUUAUCAUCGACUCAUUAAGACCAAGCUCCCGUGCAGCAGCUCUAUUUCCUUUUCCAACAGCCAGAUCAAUCGCCUUCAACUUGAAAGCUGCAUCAUAUGCAUUUCUCCGUGUCUUUGCCAUGAUGAAGGUGACAAAAUGACUAUCGUAAUCAGAAUGAUGGGAAGUUUGAGAGCGCUCGAUUUAAUCUAAACAGUAAACAAAAAAGUUGUUUGACCUUAACCCGUUCGGAAAUUUCAUGCCGCCAAAAAACUGAGCACAUCACAGAAUGUGUUUUUUUGGAGAAAAAUUUUUGAAAGCGGGAAAAAUCCAUAUAUUAGCUGCGUCAUUGUUUAAGCCGCGAGGUUCAAAGCGUGGGAAGAAAGUUGCGGCUUAUAGUCCGGAAAUUACGGUACAUGAUUCCAUAUGUGUUAUUUCAUAGUGUUGAUGUCUUCACUAUUAUUCUACAAUGUAGAAAAUAGUAAAAGUAAAGAAAACCCCUUGAAUGAGUAACUGUGUAUUUUUUUUUGCCUGUUUUGCAUGUUAUGUUGGCAUCAAUACGUCACAUAUCAGUUUACAAACAACGUAAACUUGAGUAAGGCAGCUCCAAAAUGCAGGUGUUUCAGCCUAGCUCAGUGCUUUCUGUGGUGGUGGAAAAUACAGAGCGUAGGGGUUAGUAAUGUUCUCUAGUUGCGUCAUUAUUGGCUCAGUGUUCUGUCCCUCAUGGGGACACUAGACUCCUUCACUUUUUAGACUCCUUCACUUUUUCCACAUUUUGUUACGUUACAGCCUUAUUCUAAAAUGUAUUAAAUUGUUUUUUCCAAUCGACACACAAAACCCCUUAAUGACAAAGCAAAAACUGUUUUUUAGACAUUAUCAAAAUAAAAACAGAAAUAUAACAUUUACAUAAGUAUUCAGAACCUUUACUCAGUACUUUGUUGAAGCACCUUUGGCAGCCAUUACAACCUUGAGUCUUCUUGGGUAUGACACUACAAGCUUGGCACACCUGUAUUUGGGGAGUUUCUCUCAUUCUUCUCUGCAGAUCCUCUCAAGCUCUGUCAGGUUGGAUGGGGAGCGUCGCUGCACAGCUAUUUUCAGGUCUUUCCAGAGAUGUUUGAUCGGGUUCAAGUCCGGGCUCUGGCUGGGCCACUCAAGGACAUUCAGAGACUUGUCCCGAAGCCACUCCUGCAUUGUAUUGGCUGUGUGCUUAGAGUUGUUGUCCGAUUGGAAGGUGAAUCUUCACCCCAGUCUGAGAUCCUGAGCGCUCUGGAGCAGGUUUUCAUCAAGGAUCUCUCUGUACUUUGCACCGUUCAACCUUCCCUCGACCCUGACUAGUCUCCCAGUCCCUGCCACUGAAAAACAUUCCCACAGCAUGAUGCUCCACCACCAGGCUUCACCGUAGGGAUAGUAUUGGCCAUUCAGGCCAAAGAGUUCAAUCUUGCUUUCAUCAGACCAGAGAAUCUUGUAUCUUGUCUUUUGGCAAACUCCAAGCAGGCUAUCAUGUGCCUUUUACUGAGGAGUGGCUUCCGUCUGGCCACUCUACCAUAAAGGCCUGAUUAGUGGAAUGCUGCAGAGAUGGUUGUCCUUCUGGAAGGUCCUCCCCUCUCCACAGAGGAACUCUGGAGCUCUGUCAGAGUGACCAUCAGGUUCUUGGUCACCUCCCUGACCAAGGCCCUUUUUUAACCUUUAUUUAACUAGGCAAGUCGGUUAAGAAUAAAUUAUACUUUUCAAUGAUGGCCUUGGAACAGUCGGUUAACUGCCUUGUUCAGGGGCAGAACGUCAGAUUUUUUACCUUGUCAGCUCAGGGAGUCGAUCUUGCGACCUUUCGGUCACAAGUCCAACGCUCUAACCACUAGGCUACCUGCCGCCCCUUCUCCCCCCGAUUGCGCAGUUUGGCCGGGCGGCCAGCUCUAGGAAGUCUUGGUGGUUCCAAACUUCUUCUAUUUAAGAAUGAUUGAGGCCACUGUGUUCUUGAGGACCUUCAAUGCUGCAGAAAUGUUUUGGUACUGUAACGCCCUGACCAUAGAGAGGGGUUUUUGUUCUUUAUUUUGGUUAGGCCAGGGUGUUACAUUGGGUGGGCGUUCUAUGUGCAUUUUUCUAUGUUGGUUUGUUUCAUUGAUUUUGGCCGUGUGACUUCCAAUCAGGCACAGCUGUAGAGUGUUGUUGCUGAUUGGGAGUCACACAUAAGUGCAUGUUUUUCCGUUGGGGUUUUGUGGGUAAUUGUUUCUGUUGAGUGUUUUGCACCUGACAGGACUGUUUGGCUGUCAGUUUUCUCGUUUUGUUUUGUGUGCGCCUUGGUCUACUCUCUCUCCCGACAGCCGUUACAGGUACCCUUUCCCAGAUCUGUGCCUUGACACAAUCCUGUCUCGGAGCUCUAAGGACAAUUCCUUCGACCUCGUGGCUUGCCUUUUGCUCUGACAUUCACUGUCAACUGUGGGACCUUAUACAGAGUCUGCCUCUCCAAACCAUGUCCAAUUAAGUUGUAGAAACAUCUGAAGGAUGAUCAAUGGAAACAGGGUUCACCUUAGCUCAAUUUUGAGUCUCAAAGCAAAGGGUCUGAAUACUUAUGAAAAUAAGGUAUUUCUGUUUAGUUCUUUUAUUGUCAUUAUGGGGUUUAGUGUGUAGAUUGAUUAGGGAACAAAAUAUAUUUUAUCCAUUUUAGAAUAAGGCUGUAACGAAACAAAAUGUGGAAAAAGUAAAGUGCUCUGAAUACUUUCUGAAUGCACUAUAUAUAUAUAAAAAUAGAUAUUUAACAGAUUUAAGGCAGAGACGUAAUUACAACAAAACAUUUUUGGGGGCUUUUUACAUUGUUACGUUCUGCUAUUUUUUGUGACUGACAUUCUUCUCCAGUGAUUCUCUCCAAAGCAAACGUGUUAACAUUAUUACGGUAUCUAGUGCUAUCACGGCUGAUGCACAUGGCCAUGGAGUUUGAGACAACAUUGUCUGGGGCUCAUCACAGUGGCACGACUAACAGUUUCCAUGAUGACAGUGCCCACACUCUGCCAAAGGGAUUUCCAACCCCAUUUCUGAAGGGAAUUCUUAUCAUACGUGUUAGGGAAAGGAGCGCAGCGGUCAGAAUGUAGGACUGUCAGUCAUAAAGAGCUACAGCAUCAUUUAUCAGCCUAAUAAAGCCACACUCUGCAAUCUCUGUAAAUUUUAUAUUGAGCCAUAAGCAUUUGUUUUUGUAAACUAUAGGGUGGGUUUGAGCAAAUUUAAAUGUCACAGAUUGGUUUGAAUUCUUUGGUAGCCACCCCCAAAUUCAAAGAGGAAGAGGCAGUUUCCACAAAUUUCAAAUAACUCAGGGAGUCAAGUCUUUAUCUCAAUAGGUACAUUAUCUACAUUUGGUUGGUAUGGGACACAACAGGAGUGGCUAUGACAUUGGUUAUUGACCCCCUGGUGAUGAGAGGGAGUGUACCUAUAUAAUGACAAUAAUAACAUUGAAUGAAAAUGCUAGAUACGUCAAUGAUGACUACUUUGUUGGGCAUAUCGACAGUUUUUUCACGUAGUCAGCUCUGGGAUUUGAACCAGCAACCUUUCAGUUACUGGCCCAAUAUAAUUACAGAGAGAGAGGGGUCGAAUUGCAGGGCUGCUAGGAACUCCCAAAGAAAAUAAGGGCACUCCACAUUAACUUAAAUUAAAAAUAUGAAUCUAGGCUCCCAUGUUAGCAUUUCAAAUGUUUCCAUUUAUAUUUUAAGGGCACUCCUAACAAUCAGUGUCACUUGAAUGCUGAAUGGAGGCUAGCUUCUUCAAAAAGUAAAACCAUGUAACAGAAUAUUUUAUCCAGCAUUUUGUUGUGAACAAUACCA